ACUGUUUACAGAUCGGCGGCCGACCCUGCCGCCUCCCGCUCCGUUCGCACCUAUAGGUAGAACGGAUUCAAGACAGCGGGAGGCGAAGCGCAGGGAAAAUGUGUGUUAAUAAUAUUUACACCUAUUGACAAUAGGAACCUAAAUAAGUUACGAUGAACACUAGAGAAGUCACGAACACUAGAUUGUAUUAUAAGAAGUAGUCCUAUAUUUGUUUCUUUAUUAUGACUAGAGCUAUGCAGCUAGAAUAUUAAAAACGAAACUUUAAAAAAAUCGAAAGAAUUGUCAUCGAACACUGUCCUUUGGAAAGUUGUGCUGUAACAUACAUAUUUUUUUAUAUAUUACGCACACAAUUUCAUGAAAUUAUAAAUUUAAAGUUCAAUGACAGCUCUACUAUUUCCCAGCGAGUUAUUAUUCAUAUGUACGAUUUUUCCAUAAUGUAUCUUAUUCAUUGGAAUAAAAGACUACCUACAUGGUAUUAUUUAGUACAAUAAUGUAUUGAUAAUGUUUAAUGUAUAUACGACUAAAUAUUGUUAAAUAUAGCUAAGUUAGUUACGUAAAGCUUUAUGAAUAUUAUUAAGAACUACCAUUUUCUAGUCUUUAUGUUGGUAGUUAAUAUAAUAAAUUAUAUGUAUGUAAUUCAGAUAUUUCACACAUUGUCUACGACAACGAAUAAUUCAUGUAAGGUAAACGUUGUUCAAUACAGUCAAAUGUGAAACAAAUAACCACAUAAUUAAGAUUGGUUUAGUAUGUCGCACAAUUAUAAACUUUACGAUAUAAUUACAAAUGUACAUAUUAUUUUAACUUGUAUUCUAAAAUAAAUGAUUAGAUGAAAGAA